rnacentral:rRNA from 1 species
UUCCUUGAACCGCAUGGUUCAAGGAUGAAAGACGGUUUCGGCUGUCACUUACAGAUGGACCCGCGGCGCAUUAGCUAGUUGGUGGGGUAAUGGCUCACCAAGGCGACGAUGCGUAGCCGACCUGAGAGGGUGAUCGGCCACACUGGGACUGAGACACGGCCCAGACUCCUACGGGAGGCAGCAGUAGGGAAUCUUCCGCAAUGGACGAAAGUCUGACGGAGCAACGCCGCGUGAGUGAUGAAGGUUUUCGGAUCGUAAAGCUCUGUUGUUAGGGAAGAACAAGUGCGAGAGUAACUGCUCGCACCUUGACGGUACCUAACCAGAAAGCCACGGCUAACUACGUGCCAGCAGCCGCGGUAAUACGUAGGUGGCAAGCGUUGUCCGGAAUUAUUGGGCGUAAAGGGCUCGCAGGCGGUUUCUUAAGUCUGAUGUGAAAGCCCCCGGCUCAACCGGGGAGGGUCAUUGGAAACUGGGAAACUUGAGUGCAGAAGAGGAGAGUGGAAUUCCACGUGUAGCGGUGAAAUGCGUAGAGAUGUGGAGGAACACCAGUGGCGAAAGGCGACUCUC